UAAAGGGCAAAUUAAAGUUAUCUGCUGCCUGCUGGGAAACGCGGUGUCAGGGCAUGUGCCCGCUGUAUUUAUAGCUCCCGGGAGGCACCGGAGGGAACAUGGGGAGCUGGCAGGAGCGCUGCGAGCCGUGCGAGUUCCGUGCAGACGAGAGGCGGCGGCUGAGGGGUAGAAGCCUGCCCGGAGCGGUCUGACAGUGCGACCGGCCAGCUGAGAGUGCUCUAAGCCUUGCCCUCAUCUGCGUGGAUUCGCGCAUAGAGGGGCGACAUGGAUGUCGUGCCCAACAGCAAAGCUCCCCAGGGCUGCGCCGCCAGCCUGGAAGGUGGUGCUGUGCUCAUAGGCACCAGUGACCAGGACUGGACUGGACCUCUCUUGAGUCAAGGCCAGAGAGCCGCUUCAUGCUGUACGCCCUGUGUGGAACUUGCGGGCAUCGAGGGCUUUAAAUACCCCGGCAUGCUCUGGGACUCGGCUUUCCCGAGGAGGAGACGGCGUGCCUCUCUGCAUUGUACCCUCAUUUCACCCCUGCAAGGAAAGCAAACACCCUUUUAACAUCUUGAGGCUUCUGCUAGCUGAUUUCACACAGACCCCUGGGAUAGCGGUGCUCAGAGCUGCUGCCUGACUACCCAGAUUGAUAAAGUCUCCUCAGGGUGUGCACUCAGGUGUCAACGCUGCUGACUGGUGUCUGAUUUCACAGAGAAAUGGGAGAUGGGAAAAUCAGUCCAGCAUCUGGUGUGACUGCAAUUGAAGCAAAGUCGGAACAUCUGGUUCAGUCUGAUUUUAUUUCACUCUUGGCCACAUUCUGAUAAACAUCUGUCCAGUCACAUUUAUUUAAUUUAAUUUGUGACUCCUUUGUGAGUGUAAACUGCUGAAGUUGCAGAAGUCAAAGAAGUCUGUGAAAUUUGAAACACAGAAAAAUCACCUGUGAUAGAAGAGAGGGAUCCACAAUCUGGUGCUGCCGUAUGAGCACCUUCUGAGAUGAGUCAAGAAAUUAUGCAUUAAACAUGUGUGUAUCCUUCACAUUGUAUUCAGUGAGUUGACAUGUAGCUAAAGGCUCUGUGAAUAUCUGCAUUGGGACAGGUGAGUUCCAGCCUGCACCAAAUCCUGCAGUGAAAGAUUUGCUGAGAAUU